rnacentral:rRNA from 1 species
GAUGAACGCUGGCGGCGUGCCUAAUACAUGCAAGUCGAGCGAACGGACGAGAAGCUUGCUUCUCUGAUGUUAGCGGCGGACGGGUGAGUAACACGUGGAUAACCUACCUAUAAGACUGGGAUAACUUCGGGAAACCGGAGCUAAUACCGGAUGAUAUUUUGAACCGCAUGGUUCAAAAGUGAAAGACGGUCUUGCUGUCACUUAUAGAUGGAUCCGCGCUGCAUUAGCUAGUUGGUAAGGUAACGGCUUACCAAGGCAACGAUGCAUAGCCGACCUGAGGGGGUGAUCGGCCACACUGGAACUGAGACACGGUCCAGACUCCUACGGGAGGCAGCAGUAGGGAAUCUUCCGCAAUGGGCGAAAGCCUGACGGAGCAACGCCGCGUGAGUGAUGAAGGUCUUCGGAUCGUAAAACUCUGUUAUUAGGGAAGAACAUAUGUGUAAGUAACUGUGCACAUCUUGACGGUACCUAAUCAGAAAGCCACGGCUAACUACGUG